rnacentral:rRNA from 1 species
GAUGAACGCUAGCGGCAGGCCUAACACAUGCAAGUCGAGGGAGGAGCCUUCGGGCUUCGACCGGCGUACGGGUGCGUAACGCGUAUACAAUCUGCCUUUCACAUAGGGAUAGCUCGAAGAAAUUUGGAUUAAUACCUAAUGGUAUAUAGAUGUGGCAUCACCUUUAUAUUAAAGCUGAGGCGGUGAAAGAUGAGUAUGCGUUCUAUUAGCUAGUUGGAGAGGUAACGGCUCCCCAAGGCGACGAUAGAUAGGGGUUCUGAGAGGGAUAUCCCCCACACUGGUACUGAGAUACGGACCAGACUCCUACGGGAGGCAGCAGUGAGGAAUAUUGGACAAUGGUCGGAAGACUGAUCCAGCCAUGCCGCGUGCAGGAAGACGGCCUUAUGGGUUGUAAACUGCUUUUGCAGGGGAAGAAUAAGGACUACGCGUAGUUUGAUGACGGUACUCUGCGAAUAAGCAUCGGCUAACUCCGUG